rnacentral:rRNA from 1 species
AGGGCACCACCAGGAGUGGAGCCUGCGGCUUAAUUUGACUCAACACGGGAAAUCUCACCAGGCCCGGACACCGGAAGGAUUGACAGAUUGAAAGCUCUUUCUUGAUUCGGUGGGUGGUGGUGCAUGGCCGUUCUUAGUUGGUGGAGCGAUUUGUCUGGUUAAUUCCGAUAACGAACGAGACUCUGGCCUACUAAAUAGACAUUGGAUCAUUUAUGAUCCAUUGCAGCUUCUUAGAGGGACGGGCGGCUUAUAGCCGCACGAGAAUGAGCAAUAACAGGUCUGUGAUGCCCUUAGAUGUUCUGGGCUGCACGCGCGCCACACUGAAGGAAUCAGCGUGUGUACCCUGUCCGAAAGGACUGGGAAACCCGUUGAACCUCCUUCGUGAUGGGGAUUGGGGAUUGCAAUUAUUCCCCAUGAACGAGGAAUUCCCAGUAGGCGCGAGUCAUAAGCUUGCGUCGAUUACGUCCCUGCCCUUUGUACACACCGCCCGUCGCUACUACCGAUCGAGUGUUUUAGUGA